rnacentral:tRNA from 1 species
GUCUUUAAAGGAUAAUAGUUCAUCCAUUGGUCUUAGGAACCAAAAACUCUUGGUGCAGCUCCAAGUAAAGACU